ACGGGGCCGCGACAAGCGUGGAGCAUGUGGUUAAUUCGAAGCAACGCGAAGAACCUUACCAGGCCUUGACAUGCAGAGAACUUCCAGACGAUGGAUUGGUGCCUUCGGGAACUCUGACACAGGUGCUGCAUGGCUGCCGUCAGCUCGUGUCGUGAGAUGUUGGUUAAGUCCGUAACGAGCGCAACCUGUCCUUAGUUACCAGCACGUUAUGGUGGGCACUCUAAGGAGACUGCCGGUGACAAACCGGAGGAAGGUGGGGAUGACGUCAAGUCAUCAUGGCCCUUACGGCCUGGGCUACACACGUGCUACAAUGGUCGGUACAAAGGGUUGCCAAGCCGCGAGGUGGAGCUAAUCCCAUAAAACCGAUCGUAGUCCGGAUCGCAGUCUGCAACUCGACUGCGUGAAGUCGGAAUCGCUAGUAAUCGUGAAUCAGAAUGUCACGGUGAAUACGUUCCCGGGCCUU
rnacentral:rRNA from 1 species